rnacentral:rRNA from 1 species
GACGAACGCUGGCGGUGUGCUUAACACAUGCAAGUCGAACGGUAAGGCCCUUUCGGGGGUACACGAGUGGCGAACGGGUGAGUAACACGUGAGUAACCUGCCCUCAUCUCUGGGCUAACAGUCGGAAACGGUUGCUAAUACUGGUUAUGAGCCUGCACGGCAUCCAGUGGGUUGGAAAGAUUGUUUGGUUGGGGCUGGACUCGCGGCCUAUCAGCUUGUUGGUGAGGUAGUGGCUGACCAAGGGUUCGACGGGUGGCCGGCCUGAGAGGGGGACCGGCGACAUUGGGACUGAGAGACGGCGCAGUCUCCUAUGGGAGGCAGCAGUGGGGAAUAUUGCAGAAUGGACGGAAGUCUGAUGCAGCAACGCCGCGUGCGGGAUGACGGCCUUCGGGUUGUAAACCGCGUUCAAUGGUGACGAAGCUUUUUGUGACGGUAGCAGUAGAAGAAGCACCGGCUAACUACGUG